rnacentral:rRNA from 1 species
AUGUUGCAACAACUGAAAGAGAACUUACUGUUGGCUCAAAACAGAAUGAAGAAAUUUGCAGACACAAAGAGGGUUGAAAGGACUUUUCAGGUGGGAGACCCUGUCUACCUCAAAAUGGCCCCCUAUAGAUUAGCAGCAUUUGGCUUCAGAGGAGCAUUGAAAUUACAGAACAAGUUCUAUGGACCUUUCCUGGUGAUUCAAAAAGUGGGCAACUCUGCCUACAGAUUACAACUACCAAAUACAGUGCAAAUACACCCAGUUUUUCAUGUUAGCCAGCUGAAGAAACAUGUAGGGGAAAAAUCCAUUCCCAGCCCUAAUCUACCCUUAGUUAAUGCUGAUGGGACAGUGAAAAUGGGGCCAGCCGAAGUGCUUCAAGUGCGCCAAGUUCCUAGACACAAUGCACCAGUGGUACAAUGGCUCAUCAAGUGGAUUAAUUUACCAGUUGAGGAUGCAACAUGGGAGGAUGCCGAUUUCAUCAAGUACACGUAUCCAGAGUUCUUCAGUACCACUACACGAGCAUGGCGGGAACAGGCUACAUCGUCGUGA